UGGAUAUGAUCCAACGAUUAAUAACAAUAAUAGAAAAACUACACCGAAUUAACUUCAUCUUCUCUUUAAUCUUCCCAAACAAAGAAGAAAAAAACCAGACAAAUCCUAAACACACAACAAAGAAAAUCAGACAAAAAUCAGAGAGAUAUUUAGGAACCUCUUCGUGGUCAUCUUCAAGUGAUAGCUAGGUUUGUGCUCUUCGAGUGAUGAAGAAUGAUUGAAGAUAUUCGUCGAUGAAUCGAAGCCAUAGUCUAUGGCAGUGACAUGACGAAUUGUUAUUUGGGUUUGUUGUAAUUGAGGUGAAAAUGGUUGUGUUAAUGUUAAGAAUGAAAAUUAGGGUUUUUGAUGGCUGAGUUUGAUUUCAAGAUUGAGAAAUUGGUGAUUUCUGGCAGAAUGGCAAUGGAGAGAUAGGGUUGUUGUUGAUCUAAAUAAAAGAUGGGUUUUGUUAGGAACUAAAUCUGUUGGUGAAUUUGAUUCAGAGAUAUGGUGGAUGAGUUAGGUUUCAGAGGUUGUGGUUGUGAAUUUGCAGUGACUAGAUGUAUGUUUAGGUUGGCUGUGAGACAGAAGACAAGCAGUGGGGUUUGUUUUUGAGCUAAUGAGCUUUAUGCUGAGAUUAACUAAGAAAGUGUGCAUGCAGAAGUGAUGUGGUUCAGUUGGCUAAAAUGGUUGCGAAACAAUCUUGUUGCAGUAAUUGCAGGUGGAGAUAAAAUGGCUAGGAAGUGGUGGUUAAUAGCGGAUCGGGUUAAGAGGUGCAAGAUGGUGAUAACAGUUGUGGUUCUGAUAUGAUGCAGUGAGAAUUCAGGUGUAGUUCAGCUGGUCUUCCUGCUACUGUUGGUGUCUGCCAGAGAAACAAGAAGGAAAUAGUUGAGAUGGUGGUGCUGGUGUGAAGGCAGAGUCUGAGCACCUGAAGCUAAGAAUAAGUUACAGUUGGAAUGCAUGUCUGCAGGUUUGAGUUUGCGAGCUCAGUAUGGUGGGUUUGAGUUUGCGAGCUCAGUCUGGUGAUAGAGAGGAAAAUGAAGUUUGCAAUGGUUGUGAUAAACGGGCAAAGGAAACGAUGGUGGUGGCUGCGGAAGUGAUGUGUUAAGAGAAGAAAAGUUUUCCUAAAUUAUUUUGAUGUAAUGUAAAUGUUAAUAAAGUGAAGGGUAUCCUUGUAAUCUGGUUUCACAUUUUAAUUUUACUAGAUUUGUGCCCGGUGCGUAUUUUUACUUUUAA